ensembl:lncRNA
UGUUUAGUGUUUUUUUGGGGGCAUUUUUCGUGAGUCACAAUCACUGCUAAACAUAGAAGCUAUUGCUGCUUAUGUCCGUUGAAAAUCUGAUCACAUGACUUCCUAAUUACCCAGCAGCCCAGCUGUGUCCAGUUAAUUAAUUAAGAAAGCUGAUAAAAGCAGCGAGCAAACUGCUUAGCUGUUCACUUUGCUCUUCACUAUGGCUAAGGCCAUUGGGGGUUUCUUAAGGUUGUUGCUGCUGCUGUUUUUAGCUGCUAAAGGCUGUCAAUCAGAAGAUGCCCAUGUUGGAUCUGCUGAGAACUACAGAGAUGAAGCGGAACUGGAUCCCAGGGAUGAGCUGGAAUCCGACUCCUACGCACCCCGUGACCAAACUUUAUGGAGCCCUGAGCUGUUUGAUUGGGAAGAUUCAGAAUUGAAAACAAAUGAUUCCUUGAGCUCCGACAACUCAACUGUUGAUCAGCAUGAAGAAGAAACAUUGGAAAACAACUCGUCUGCACAGGAUCUGUCAAACACGGUCAAUUAUUCUGAAGACGAAGUAGAAGAAUUUGGGUGUCCAUCUGAGCAGCAGCCCCGCUCAUGGCCGUCCCAUAAGGAACCCCAACAGUCAACUUGCCAGUCCCAGGAAUCUAAAAAGCUUGGUCUGCCAGGGCAGAAUGACCAAUCUCCAGAGAGGUAUCAACAAGAGCGCGGUUACCCUCCCUGGUGGCUUCAACAGCCCCAACUUCAUGAGUAUUUGUCCAAAUGGACCCAUCCUCUGGCUUGGCUGUACAACAUGGCACAGGAACUAAACCAGCAGGGAUACCCCCCGGUGUGGCCCCAAGAGACUCAUCGUGGCUGUAAGACAAAAGUUGCCCCUCAUCAAGGCUGUCAGUCCCAAACUUUGCCUUACCAAUAUUUUCAGAACCCUGUGAUCCCACACCAGAAUUUCCAUUCCCAAGCACCCCCACAAGAAGGUUUCUAUUCCCAGGAAUCCCCACACCAGGGUGUCCAUCCUCGCUCAUCCCCACAUCUGGGUCACUGGCCCCACCAACACAGAGGUGAACAGCAUCAUGGUCAAGCACAUCACCACCGCCAACCCAAAGCAGGGAAAUGGCAAGGCCCCCCACAUCACCCCCACCAACCUCAAGCGGAGUCCCAGCAAGCCCACACACACCACCAACCCCAAGUGGAGCCUUGGCAGAGCUUCAGGCCUAAUCUUUCACAAGGAAAGCAACACUUGCCGCAGCCCGUUCAGCACUGGGCAGAGCCACACUACGGCCAGCCACCCCACCAGCCAGAACUGAAGCCACAUGGCAUCCACCCAGGUUACCGCCACUGGCCUCGUGCAGAAAUGCAUCCUCUUUACCAACAGAACCAGGCACAAGAAAACCCACAAAACCAUUUUCAGCCCGACCAGCCUCAACCUGAGCCAAGUUAUAGCCACCAGCCACAACUGGAACGCUACAGCCAUCCACUUCCAUAUCAACCACAAACGGAACUUGAUCAGACCCACCAGCUGCCGCCACAUGGCCAUCCGUCAUACCAGCCAGUAGAGCCACAUCCCUUCAUGUCUCAAGUAGAACAGCAGUAUGGCCACCAAGCUGAACUUCAAAUGCCUCAAAGUCGUGGCAACUCGCCGGAGGGCCAAGAAGUGCCUACUCUCACCAAGAAGCCACGGUACUUGCCCAAAAGACCCCCUUUAAAAGCCAGAUGGCCAGUGUACAAGCCUUCAGCACACCACUAAGAUGUCGUUGAUCCCGCGAUGCCAGUAAAAACGCUGAUCUGUAGCCUCUUGUUUCUGUUUGAGAUGCUGUACUGACCUGUCCAAUAAAGAACUUUGUAAAGUUUGAACAAGUUUUGCUUAAAUUUAAACAAAGCCUGGGUCUGUUCAAUAAACUGCAAGAUUUUAGUAGAUACAAAUUAUUGUUUUGUGGAUUUGGAGAAGGGGUGUGACCGUGUCCUGCGGAGGGUGCUCUAGGCGUUCGGGAUCUGGGGAGCUUCACUGAAGGCUAUCCGGUCUUUGCAUGACCAGAACUGGAGCCUAGUUCACAUUGCUACCAGCAAGGCCAACUGGUUCCUG